AGGCUGCACAUCGCUCGUGGCCCAGGAACCCGGUGAGACUCCGGGGCGGUUCCGCCACUGUGAUCCUCCGUCAGGAGGGCAGCCAGACACUGGCCGCGGGCACGUCCGACCG
rnacentral:ncRNA from 2 species